rnacentral:rRNA from 1 species
AAACUUUCAACAACGGAUCUCUUGGUUCUGGCAUCGAUGAAGAACGCAGCGAAAUGCGAUAAGUAAUGUGAAUUGCAGAAUUCAGUGAAUCAUCGAAUCUUUGAACGCACAUUGCGCCCCCUGGUAUUCCGGGGGGCAUGCCUGUUCGAGCGUCAUC